AUUCACCACUAACAUCGUAACAAGGGUUAUUUGUAUUUUAAUUUAUUCUUGGAUAAACAUGCAAAUUGGCUACAAGCCUAAUAAGCAUUCAAAUAAAAACUCACAAAAGUAAUUUGGAAAUAAUCCAUCUUCAGUUGGCAUGCAAUGUCUACCCUAAUCUAAGGUGGUAGCACACCACAUCUUUCUUAAGCAUGAACUAUCU
rnacentral:lncRNA from 1 species